UACAGAGGGUGCAAGCGUUGUUCGGAAUUACUGGGCGUAAAGCGCACGUAGGCGGAUAUUUAAGUCAGGGGUGAAAUCCCAGAGCUCAACUCUGGAACUGCCUUUGAUACUGGGUAUCUUGAGUAUGGAAGAGGUAAGUGGAAUUGCGAGUGUAGAGGUGAAAUUCGUAGAUAUUCGCAGGAACACCAGUGGCGAAGGCGGACUUGACCUGGUCCAUAA
rnacentral:rRNA from 1 species